AUGGAUGAGCACUGCGAGCUACUCCUCGCAUCCCCCAAGGCGGCGGUGGUAGGGAGGAUGACGUCGGCGCCAUCAAGCACGACUACUUCAACCUCGGCUCCGACGCCGAGUACCCUAGGUGGGCGUCGCUGUCGAAGGAGGAUGAGGACGAGGAUGAGGAAGAGGUUGAGGGGCUUCUCGCAGCAUCGGACAACGCAAGCAGGGUGGAACCGGACCAGGAUGAUCUUCUCUUCUACGGCCGUGACCGAGCGACGCUGUGGUCGGACUCGUCCUCGGGUGGGGAGAGGCCAAAGGUCGAGGUGACCGAACCGGUGGAGCAAGCUAGGGCGGCGGCGAUGGAGGAGGAAGAGGGCCGAGGGCGUGGUGGCGAAUGGAGGAGGACCCGUCCAGUGGUGGAAGCUGCCACUAGACGUGCUGCGUGUGUGGACCCUGCAACUCCCCUUCGCCGAGGCGGUCUCCACCACGCGCGCCCUGCUGGGCGCGUCGCACGAGGACCUCCGCCUCCGCGCGCACCAGCUGUCGCGCGGGCUGAGCAUCGUCUUCUUCCCCUGCGCGGCGGCGGCGGGAGCCUUCGCCGAGCGUGGCAGGGCGUGGUUCCCGGAGGGUGGCCUCUACGUCUGCGCCGACCUCCCCCCGCUCUCGCCGGCGGUACGGGCCGUGCUGCGGGUGCUGAUGCAGGUCGUCGUCAAGGAGGCAAGCUACGACGUGUGCGUUUACUUCUACGACACCGUCCGCGACAUGUUGUGGCAGCUCGUCGGCGACGCCCGGGACGGCCGUGGCCCCGUGGUGUUCGACCGCGAGAAGUUCGAGGCCGCCUUCGCGCUCGAGGGGGUGGAGUGA